rnacentral:lncRNA from 1 species
AACAGCUUCCCUGCAACUGUGGCAACUGACAGAAAAGAUAAGGGCAUCCUUGAGCCCUCCAUGGAAUAACAAACAAGAAGGAGGGAGAUGUAUGAAACUCAGAAUAACAAGGCAGCUACAAGAUGUAAGAGAUCCCUGCUCUCAGUAUUUUUCUACUGACUAGUCUUGAGUGUCUACACUAAGAAAAAGGGAAUUUCAAGGAGCUCCAUAUUCAAGCAUCUCUGUUUCCAUGAAUCAUUUAAGGUGUCUGACUCCACACAAAGCUGACUCAGAACUCCGCACACCGGUGUAAGUGGUAGAUGAC